rnacentral:misc_RNA from 1 species
AAUGCUCUACCGUCAAGCCGGUAGGUGCCCGGAGCGCAGCAAUGCGUGCCCUGAACGCAAGUGAGGGGCCGCCGGGGCUCAGCAAACCCUCUGUAAACAUACUACCUUUGUUGCUUUGGCGGGCCGCCGCUCGGCUCCCGGCGCACGCUGGGAUGUGCCCGCCAGAGGCCCCAACUCUUGAUUCUAGUGAUGUCUGAGUACUAUCUAAUAGUUA